UACGUAGGGCGCAAGCGUUGUCCGGAAUUAUUGGGCGUAAAGAGCUCGUAGGCGGUCUGUCGCGUCUGCCGUGAAAACCCGAGGCUUAACCUCGGGCUGGCGGUGGAUACGGGCAGACUAGAGGUAGGUAGGGGAGAAUGGAAUUCCCGGUGUAGCGGUGAAAUGCGCAGAUAUCGGGAGGAACACCGGUGGCGAAGGCGGGUCUCUGGGCCGUAACUGACGCUGAGGAGCGAAAGCGUGGGGAGCGAACAGG
rnacentral:rRNA from 1 species